rnacentral:rRNA from 1 species
CAACAGGGAUGGGAUGCCCCUUUCG